CCUACGGGAGGCAGCAGUGAGGAAUAUUGGUCAAUGGGCGGAAGCCUGAACCAGCCAAGUAGCGUGCAGGAUGACGGCCCUACGGGUUGUAAACUGCUUUUAUACGGGAAUAACGCGCCUUACGUGUAGGGCUUUGCAUGUACCGUAUGAAUAAGGACCGGCUAAUUCCGUGCCAGCAGCCGCGGUAAUACGGAAGGUCCGGGCGUUAUCCGGAUUUAUUGGGUUUAAAGGGAGCGUAGGCGGCAUGUCAAGCGUGCUGUGAAAUGCCCGGGCUCAACCCGGGCCUUGCAGCGCGAACUGGCGUGCUUGAGUCCGCGGAAGGCAGGCGGAAUUCGUCGUGUAGCCGUGAAAUGCUUAGAUAUGACGAAGAACCCCGAUUGCGAAGGCAGCUUGCUGCAGCGGAACUGACGCUGAUGCUCGAAAGCGCGGGUAUCGAACAGGAUUAGAUACCCCGGUAGUC
rnacentral:rRNA from 1 species